rnacentral:lncRNA from 1 species
CUCCUCUCCAUGGCAUCAGUGGGAGGGAAUCAGUUGCUCAGCAGGAAUGUGGUUAUUUGUGGUUGAGUUUUACUACCAUCUCAUUUAGUGGUGUUUAAUGUUGACGUGUGGAGUGACUGUAGAUCACUGAGAGGCCUAGCUAUGCGUGGGAGGUGUGUGUGUGUGUGUGUGUGUGUGUGUGUGUGUGUGUGUGUGUGUGUUACUGUGCCAGUGCGAGGUGCGAGCGCAGCGUAAUCCAGUCCCCCUAAUGACCAUACACAGCAGCCGUACUGCCAGUGAACUAACCCAGAAACCAGAUAAAGCUUUUCAUUUUGAAACGCUACAUCACAGUAAUUAAAUGUCCAGUUAUCAGUACAGUCAAGAUACAGCACUUUUCCCCUUCACACAGUGUAGAGAAGUACAGUUCAGGACUCUACGUUCAGUCUCUAGACAAGACAACAUGGCGAAUGAGACAGUCAGGUUUCCAAUCGAGUUCUGUGGGCCUUGGAAUGAGGCAGAGAGAGGCAGAGAGAGGCAGAGGGAGGCAGAGGGAGGCAGAGAGAGGCAGAGGGAGGCAGAGAGGCAGAGGGAGGCAGAAGGAGGCAGAGAGAGGCAGAGAGAGGCAGAAGGAGGCAGAGAGAGGCAGAGAGGCAGAGGGAGGCAGAGGGAGGCAGAGAGAGGCAGAAGGAGGCAGAAGGAGGCAGAGAGAGGCAGAGAGAGGCAGAGGGAGGCAGAGAGGUUAUUCUGUAGUGACUAUUCUGUAGUGACUAUACUGUAGUG